rnacentral:tRNA from 1 species
GGUCCAGUAGCUCAGUUGGUUAGAGCGCCAGCCUGUCACGCUGGAGGCCGUGGGUUCGAGCCCCUUCUGGAUCGC